CCUACGGGUGGCAGCAGUGGGGAAUAUUGGACAAUGGGCGAAAGCCUGAUCCAGCCAUGCCGCGUGUGUGAAGAAGGCCUUCGGGUUGUAAAGCACUUUCAGUGGGGAAGAAAGCCUUGGGGCUAAUACCCUCGAGGAAGGACAUCACCCACAGAAGAAGCACCGGCUAACUCCGUGCCAGCAGCCGCGGUAAUACGGAGGGUGCGAGCGUUAAUCGGAAUUACUGGGCGUAAAGCGCGCGUAGGCGGUCUGAUAAGCCGGUUGUGAAAGCCCCGGGCUCAACCUGGGAACGGCAUCCGGAACUGUCAGGCUAGAGUGCAGGAGAGGAAGGUAGAAUUCCCGGUGUAGCGGUGAAAUGCGUAGAGAUCGGGAGGAAUACCAGUGGCGAAGGCGGCCUUCUGGACUGACACUGACGCUGAGGUGUGAAAGCGUGGGUAGCAAACAGGAUUAGAUACCCUAGUAGUC
rnacentral:rRNA from 1 species